UACGGAGGGUGCAAGCGUUAUCCGGAUUCACUGGGUUUAAAGGGUGCGUAGGUGGGCAGGUAAGUCAGUGGUGAAAUCUCUGGGCUUAACCCAGAAACUGCCGUUGAUACUAUCUGUCUUGAAUAUAGUGGAGGUGAGCGGAAUAUGUCAUGUAGCGGUGAAAUGCUUAGAUAUGACAUAGAACACCCAUUGCGAAGGCAGCUCGCUACACUAUAAUUGACACUGAGGCACGAAAGCGUGGGGAUCAAACAGG
rnacentral:rRNA from 1 species